rnacentral:misc_RNA from 1 species
AUAAAAGGAUACCUGCACCGGUAUACCCCAUCCCGUGUCUAUCAUACUCUUGUUGCUUUGGCAGGCCGUGGUCCUCCACCUGUGGGCUCUGCCUGCAUGUGCCUGCCAGAGGACCAAACUCUGAAUGUUAGUGAUGUCUGAGUACUAUAUAAUAGUUA